CAGCAGAGAGCGUCUUUUGUUGCGAUAACAACAGCUACUGUUAAAGUGUCCUAGAGCGCUAUGUGGAGAGGUGCUAACGUUAGAUAAAACAAAGUGGUGGAGAGAGCUAAAGAAAGAAGAGAGAGAGAGAGAGAGAGAGGUGCUAACUUUAGAUAAACCAAAGCGGUUGAGUGAGCUAGAGAAAGAACAGAGAGAGAGAUGGUGCUAACGGUAGAUAAAACAAAGCGGCUAAGUGAGCUAGAGAAAGAACAGAGAGAGAGAGGUGCUAACGGUAGAUAAAACAAAGCGGGUAAGAGAGCUAGAGAAAGAACAGAGAGAGAGAGUGAACAUAGCGUAACAUACUUGCCAAAUAACAAUAUAAAGUUAAACAAUCAUGAAUGCCCAGAUCAACACAAACCCUUAUUAUAAUGAGGACAUACACAAUAUUUCACUUUCAUGCUCAAAGCUUGUAAACAUCAGCAAAACAUUUGUCAAGAUGGCGUCUGCUCUUCAUUAGCUACAUUUCUACAUUUUCUCCACUUACCUCUGCUUCGUUUACCUGCUGUUGAACAUUAAGUCUUGGCUGCUUGGCAGGUCGGUGCAGAUUGAUGACAGAAGCUGAUGCCACAUAUUUUAAUCAAAAUAACAUCUGUAAUUAACAGAAGAAAGACAUUGAGUUGCACUGUAGUUUCUACUAGUGCAAUGGCUGUCGACGUCGACACGAGCUUUUUCAAAACU